UGUGGCCUACGGGGCGCAGCAGUGGGGAAUAUUGCACAAUGGGGGAAACCCUGAUGCAGCGACGCCGCGUGAGUGAAGAAGUAUUUCGGUAUGUAAAGCUCUAUCAGCAGGAACGAGACAAGACGGUACCUGACUAAGAAGCCCCGGCUAACUACGUGCCAGCAGCCGCGGUAAUACGUAGGGGGCAAGCGUUAUCCGGAUUUACUGGGUGUAAAGGGAGCGUAGGUGGCAGGGCAAGUCAGAUGUGAAAACCCGGGGCUCAACUCCGGGAGUGCAUUUGAAACUGUCCAGCUAGAGUGCAGGAG
rnacentral:rRNA from 1 species